CGAUGGUCUACGCUAAAGUACGAUUGUGUCUCACGCUAAAGUGCGAUGGUUGUUUGUUUGCUAAAGUACGAUGGUAUAUCACGCUAACGUGCGAUGGACCAAUAUGAUAAGGUCGACGGUUUAAAACAUUUUAAAUACAUGGAUUUAAAAAAAAUAAUAAGUAGUCUAUUUGCAAAAGCUAGAAUGCUAAGGUAUAACAUAUGUGAUAGGCUUUAUGAUUUAUCGGUAAGUUUAUAUAGUGAUAGUUUCUAAAUUUAUAAGACCGACCACAUUGUCUGAAUACAUUAAGUAACAUUUAUUUGUACAAGGUGUUUAGCUUUAUUCUUAAAUGCGAGAAAAAGCGAUAUUCGUCGAGCUUUCUCUUUUCCGUAAAAAAGACAUGUUAUAUUUUCCUGCACUGUACAAACUAUGUUUUAGCCGACAAUUUAUAAUUUCCGCUGAACAACAUGAAACUUUAUUUUCCUGACGUUACUUUUCAAUAAAAUCGAGAAUAUUUUAACGGGGACCGCAAUGUAAACUGAAUUGUAAACAAUAAUUUUAGUGCAUCCGUUCGCUGCCAAUAGAAGCAGGAUCUACGAUACCUAUGCGUAUACUAUUUUCAACCUAUUUAGCAUCUAUAAAGUAAAAUGGUCGACUGCAGGACACAAGUCCUUCUUCCAGCAUCCGAAAUAAAUCAACACAGUUGCUUCAGCCGACGAAGCACGGUUAGGUCUGAAAUUAAAUCAUGGACAUUUGGUUUAAAAGUUGUGAAUCAAAUGUUCUUAAUUUAUGUUCCGGCAUAUACAUUUUUGGUUUGUAUAAACGACUGUUAACGUCAUAAUCCAAGUACAAUUCUCUCGCCUAUACUUUCGCGGACCAUCGCACUUUAGCGUAUAGAGGAAUCGUACUUUAGAGUAGACCAUCGCACUUUAGCGUGACCAUCGUACUUUAGCGUCCCCAUCGCACUUUAGAGUCCUACAUAUAUAUA
rnacentral:lncRNA from 1 species